rnacentral:rRNA from 1 species
CCUACGGGAGGCAGCAGUGAGGAAUAUUGGUCAAUGGGCGCGAGCCUGAACCAGCCAAGUAGCGUGAAGGAUGACUGCCCUACGGGUUGUAAACUUCUUUUAUAAAGGAAUAAAGUGAGGCACGUGUGCCUUGUUGUAUGUACUUUAUGAAUAAGGAUCGGCUAACUCCGUGCCAGCAGCCGCGGUAAUACGGAGGAUCCGAGCGUUAUCCGGAUUUAUUGGGUUUAAAGGGAGCGUAGAUGGGUUGUUAAGUCAGUUGUGAAAGUGCGCGGCUCAACCGUAAGAUUGCAAUUGAUACUGGCAGUCUUGAGUACGGUUGAGGUAGGCGGAAUUCGAGGUGUAGCGGUGAAAUGCAUAGAUAUCACGAAGAACUCCGAUUGCGAAGGCAGCUUACUA